AUGGGCGUAUUGAUCUCACUUUUAUUAUGGUGUGGACAUCUUGUAGAAGCACACACGUUGAUAUUACAAUUCUAUAACAUAAGAGGUGUUAGCUUUGUUUUUUUUCCUAAGAGUGAUGUUGCAAAGUUUUUUCAUGCCCUUGCACAAGUACUAUAUUGUUAUUACACUGCAAUAUUUAGCAAGAUCGCAUGCUAUUUAUACGGCACCUUUUUUAUUCAAAGUCAAGUGAUUGAUGGUCUUGAGGGAGGGGGGAGGGAGACAGAGGGGAGAGGGAGAGAGAGGGAGAGUAACAUAUUACAAUGA
rnacentral:rRNA from 1 species